ACUCCUACGGGAGGCAGCAGUGGGGAAUAUUGCACAAUGGGGGAAACCCUGAUGCAGCAACGCCGCGUGGAGGAUGACACAUUUCGGUGCGUAAACUCCUUUUAUAUGGGAAGAUAAUGACGGUACCAUAUGAAUAAGCACCGGCUAACUCCGUGCCAGCAGCCGCGGUAAUACGGAGGGUGCAAGCGUUACUCGGAAUCACUGGGCGUAAAGCGCGCGCAGGCGGCUAUUUAAGUUGGAUGUGAAAGCCUACGGCUCAACCGUAGAACUGCAUCCAAAACUAUUUAGCUAGAGUGUGGGAGAGGAAGAUGGAAUUAGUUGUGUAGGGGUAAAAUCCGUAGAGAUAACUAGGAAUACCAAAAGCGAAGGCAAUCUUCUGGAACACUACUGACGCUGAGGCGCGAAAGCGUGGGGAGCAAACAGGAUUAGAUACCCUGGUAGUCCACGCAGUAAACGAUGAAUGUUAGUCGUCGGGGGCCUAGUGUCUUCGGUGAUGCAGCUAACGCAUUAAACAUUCCGCCUGGGGAGUACGGUCGCAAGAUUAAAACUCAAAGGAAUAGACGGGGACCCGCACAAGUGGUGGAGCAUGUGGUUUAAUUCGAAGAUACGCGAAGAACCUUACCUAGCCUUGACAUAUAUUAGAAUCCACCAGAGAUGGAGGAGUGCCUUCGGGAGCUUUUAUACAGGUGCUGCACGGCUGUCGUCAGCUCGUGUCGUGAGAUGUUGGGUUAAGUCCCGCAACGAGCGCAACCCUCGUCACUAGUUACUAACGGUUCGGCCGAGGACUCUAGUGAGACUGCCUUCGUAAGGAGGAGGAAGGUGAGGACGACGUCAAGUCAUCAUGGCCCUUACGGCUAGGGCAACACACGUGCUACAAUGGCCAGGACAGUGAGACGCGAUACCGUGAGGUGGAGCAAAUCUAUAAACCUGGUCUCAGUUCGGAUUGUA
rnacentral:rRNA from 1 species